rnacentral:lncRNA from 1 species
AUUAAUAGGGGGUUGUAACACAAUACAAGCCAAGUGGCAGGUGUCAGGAAAAGUCCAUUACCAUCGCUCUUGUCUUUUGCCAAAGGACGGUUCUACCUUUGCUAAAAGUGCAUUUCUACCUGAGCAGGAAACAAGGCUGGAAAAGCCUAAUACUGAGAAACAAAAUUAACUCUCUGAAGAACAGAACCAGCUGCAGCAGAAGGAACAAAGGACUCCCAAGUGGUUCUGGACUGCCUGGUGAAUCCCUUAGGCUCUGCUGGAAUGCUGAAGAGCUGUCUCAGUUCAGCUCCAAGGGCACAAAGUGUUCAGCCA